GCUGGCGGUGCUGGGUGCCUGGGCCGCAGGAGCGGCUACAAGAGGUCCAUUCACCUGCCUCCCAGCUAUGGACAUGGACAUGGGAAGACACAGCACCAAGAAUCCCGUCUCUUCUCUUCCUGCCUUGGGGACCCCUGACCCACGAAGAGUCCAGAAUCACGGGACACACAGCGGAAAACUGGGCGCCAGACACCUGGAGAAGGAAGGAGCAAAGGAGACUAGAGAGCCUUCUAGCCUGACACAUUAAGGCCAGAAUAGUUUUGCUAGGAUCCUAUGGAUUGGGUUUCCAGGAUGUAACAAGGUCUGUCUCAGUGAGUUCAAGAAACAGCAUCAGGGCGAAGCAUACUACUUGCUAUUUUUUUUCUUCUGCUGUGUUUUGUUUCCUCUUUCUGGUGGUUCCUCCUAUUGGU